AAUCCCUGAGCACAAGAUCUAGC
rnacentral:piRNA from 1 species